GAACACAGCACAUACUCAUAUUUUCUUCACACAUUCACCUGUGCUCUACAAAGCAGGGCAAAUCGGAAUGCUGCAUGUCGCCCUGAAAGUCCCAGGAGCUCUGCUGAAAGGAAAAGAUUAAUAAACCUUGCAAUAGAAAACUGCAAAGAUGAAACUGUCCUGCAGUGGCUGAGAGAAAAUUCAGAGUCUGGCACCUUCAGAAAACUCUCAGACAUGUUUGAUUUCCUGAAAAGUAAAAUUGAUGAAGAAGAAAAGAAGAACCACAGUGACACUGUUGACAUAAUCUUUGUGGCACAUGGAUCAAUCAGAGACUCCAUGAUCCCAGCCAGCUGUUUGCUGCCUCUGCCCACCAUCACUGACCUGGUCCUGUACUCUCCCUGGAACUGUGGCACCACUGGUGCUGUAACCUAUGGCAUUGCAACAGGAAAAAUGAGGCCACAGCACAGAGUUUUUUACCGUUCACUACCGUUUUUUCUCCACAGUAGAAUUCUUUUUGACAAAUAUCAACCCCUGAACCUGCCAGACUACUGGAACUCACUGAAGAAAGCUAAAGGACGGAACAUCCCAAACAUCAUUGUUAGCCCUCUGCAGCCAAAUGACGGUGUGUGGGAAACAUUUAAGUCUCUCUCAACAAAACAUGGUCCACCAGGAAGAAACCGCAUCGUCAUCCCGUUCAUCCUCCCAGAAGAGAGUGAAAGUGUCCCGUUCUCUGUCGUCGCCUUGGCUCUGUCCCUGGUGCUCCUCUCUUCCAGGUUUAAAGCCACCGUUCACCUUGAUACCUGUCUGAGUGAUAAGUCUACAGGACAGAAAUCUGACAGGAAGUAUCUGCAGGAGCAGUACUACUGCACUGAAGACAACACUGGGAUGACAUGUUCACCAGAUGCAUUCAGUGUGAACUAGUGGGAUCGCUUUAAGAGUCUGUUUAAUUAGAUGCAAACCAGCCUCAUCUUAUCAUCUUUCCUGUGUCCGUUUUUUAAAAACUGUUCCGGAAACAUGAAACCAUAAAAGCAUUUAUUUUUUAAUCUGUGGAGCUCAGAUUUAAAAAGAAACCCACACAGGACUCAUGUUAGAACACACAUUCGACUUUAAUUACAAUUACAAUCACAGAUGCUUCCAGUAGUUCAAACUAUCCUUUAGUUUAUCAGCCAGUUUCACUUCUUUAAUGAAGCCUACAUCAGAAUCAGAAUCAGAAUACUUUAUUGAUCCCUAGGGGAAUUUAUCUAAUUAUUACAUGAAUCAGUCUCCUGAUUUUUUUGCACUUUAAGCUGUUUGUGUAGCUGCUGCUUUUCCUCAGAGCUCAGGCUGGACUUCAGUGUACCGACUGUCUUAUACUUUAUCCUGACAGAAAAGAGUACACAGCACUUUAUUGUCUAGUUUAGCUCCACAGUGACAUGGAGGGAAAUCUGCAAACAGCUGAGCAGACAAAAACACUCACUGUGUGUAAACUAUGUCUUUCUCUGUAACUUAAACACCUUAAUGUAUCUAUUUUUUUUUAAUGAUGAAAUCAAACUACAUUUUGGAAUUUUGUAUCGUUUGUACUUUCUUGACUUUUUAUAUCAAUGUAAUUUAAAACAUAAUGACUUUAAUUCAUUGCUG
ensembl:lncRNA